rnacentral:lncRNA from 1 species
UCAAUUUCAAAUAAAGUUUGUUACUUUUUCAGAAAAAAAUCAGAAAUAAUCCGGAUAAAUUCCAAAUUUCCGUAGAACAAGCGAAGAAAUCUCAUCAGAAACUAUGGAUUAGCACUUGGAAAAAGUUUUGGAACGUCCGGGACCCGUCCAGAAUGCAUCAAGUUUGAAUGUAAACCGUCUCCGGAUUUUCUCGACUUGAUCAUAUCCAUUUAGAGCCCACUUACGGAGACCCUUUUGAUUACGAGCUGCUUAAAUACCAAUAGAAUGAUGUAUUUCAAGCACAUCGACAUAGAUAUUAUCGCUUUAUCCCAUUUAAAUCGAUAAUUUCCGUUCAGGCACAAAGCUAUCGAUGUAUCUAAAGCACAGGUAGCGGCAAACUACAUCAAUGCCAGGAUAGCGGGAUGACAAGAAACACUACCUCGCUGUUGUGUAAUGAAUCUCCGUAGAAGAUGAAAAAGUAUUGUGUUAUUACGUGUAACUCCACCAGGUAUGAUAGCCUGUGUUGGGUAUACUCGUAAUUUGUAUCCUCCCCCAAGUCACAUUGCAAAUACAAAGUUCUACAGUGGCCAAAAGAGAAAACCGUUCGGUGUUGCCCUUGAUGCCAAUGAUGCACCACUUGGAUCUAUAAGAAUAUAUAUAAUCUUAUAUUAAAAAUAUAUAUAUCUUCAUAGAUUUUAUGAAGAAGUACCUAUUGGAAACAGUCCCCGAAAGUGCCAAUUAAUUCAAUAUACAAGGUGUUACAUGUAGAUCAGUACAGGAUGGCAGUAAAAAAUAUUAUUCCAAGAAAGUUUUAGGAAAAAUUAGUUGAUGCACAAGACUUUUUAUGGAUAGAUUUUAAUGGAAAAAAUUAGGGACCUGUCCCAAUUAUUGGCACUUUAGAACCAGCUUUUAGAGAAAUGGAUCAGCUGAAGGUUGGAUUAAAUGCACGAGGAUGUUGUAUACUGCACUCAUGGCUGUGUUUAUAGGAAAACUGUACAUAUCAAAAUAGAAAUCCAGAGAUUUAGGAAAGACAGACAUGUUUACGGAUGGACGUAUGCAGCAAGAUUAUCUGAAUAUAUCCGAUUACUGGACAAGAGUUGGUACAAACACUGGCAAAACAUUGAAAGUGGAAUGAAGGCAGAGGAAGGACUUUGAGGAAUUCAAGACAGCUUUUUGGAGCAGCAUUAAGUAGAAAAAAAACCUCUAAGUAGUUAAAAGUUUGAGACAAAUAUUGUGAAUCACCCUGUAUAUUGAUAGAAAUAUUUUUAAAGUAUGCAUUACCAUUAUCUAUACAUUUUAAGAAGUGUAAUCUGGAAUUAUUAAGAACCUUAAAUAGAGCAUUUGGCAUGCAACCAGUAAUACACAAUUGGACCUUCCAGUAUACGAGACCAGUAUGGUUAACUGAGGUCUUGCAGAUAUAACUUAUGUUAGUAAUUAUUAUGUUAGUUUGUACAGAAACACCACGAACUGUAUAUUUGCUAGUAGACCCUUUUAGUAAUGUAUCUAAUACCGUAUGAUCGAAAAAAACGGCGUCCAGUUGGCUGGGAAAUGGCGAUCGAUCACAUUUCCCAUAUAAAUUUACAUAUUAUGAGAGCGAUCUUCAUUUCAUAGCCAUCGCUG